ACUUUUUAAAGCAUCCCAUCAUCAUGCCAUCUGCUGGUCCCACCUCUGACCACCCUACAGAGAAGACUCUUCUAGAAAGAGAAAAUGUUGUCACAACACGUAGAUGAACCCUCGGCCCAGAUGUGAGGGUUAGGGAAGACUUCUGGGCCAAGUGGCAUAGAAUUCUAGAGCUGCAAGGGCUAGCGGAGGUGACCAGGAAAACAGCAGCCCCACCAGGACCAGCCAGAGCAUCCCACAGAGCAGCAGCCAAGUGGCAGAGGCGGUGACAAGUAACUGGUGCCCCAUCCUUUCCUGGAAGAGAGUUGAAGGGAUAGAGAGAUCUCCCAAGCAGACUGCUUUUCCUCAGGAGGCUGCAAGCUUACCAGCAGGAGUGUGAAUGUGAAUGCUGACCAUUCCUUCUUCCACAUUCCGUCUUCCUUAAAUGAGGGGCUACUUUGUACCAGGCACUGGUCUAAGCUCUGAGAAAAGCACAGAGGAUGAAGCAGACACAGUCUUGGCCAUGCUAGAACAUAUGCUUUAGUAGGGAACCUGUGCAAUUCAACAAGCCAUUAUAAUAAAAUGUGACCGUGAGGGAGGUGAAAGAUGCCACCAAGCAGUGUUGGGAUAAGUCUCUUUCAUGUAGAGGUAGGUGGGGGGUGAGGAUUAAAUUAUCU